CGAGGUUGUCGAGCACUUGCUCCUUUUUAUUUCCUCAAAAAUAUCUUUAUUUUUGCAUAGCCCAUGCCUCUAAUGCAAUAAUACUUCGGAAGAGUGAAUCUUUCUGAAUAAAUGUCUUGAUCUUAGGAGCAUGAUAAAUCUCUCAACAAGGGUCUAACUCAUUUUGAACAAACUUAAUACAGAGUAGAUAGCUUUUAUAAUCAUAAUUAAUAUUUUUAGUUUUAUCAGGCAUAUAAAACACUGAGGAUGGUAGCUAGAAUUUUGAAGAUUUUGAAAUAAAUUCUCCAAGCAACAAUGAUAUCAAGAAUAAGAAACUCAUACUCUACCAUUACAUAUUCCAUAUUGACUUAAGUAAUACAGGGUUUUAAAAAUGAUUUUCAAUAAUUGCAAGUUUUCAGGAAAUAUCACAGAUUG
rnacentral:lncRNA from 1 species